rnacentral:rRNA from 1 species
AGAGUUUGAUCAUGGCUCAGGAUGAACGCUGGCGGCGUGCCUAACACAUGCAAGUCGAGCGAUCUUCUUCGGAAGAGAGCGGCGGACGGGUGAGUAACGCGUGGGUAACCUGCCCCAUACACAUGGAUAACAUACCGAAAGGUAUGCUAAUACAAGAUGAUAUAAGAGAUUCGCAUGGAUUCUUAUCAAAGCUCCGGCGGUAUGAGAUGGGCCCGCGUCUGAUUAGCUAGUUGGUAAGGUAAUGGGCUUACCAAGGCGACGAUCAGUAGCCGACCUGAGAGGGUGAUCGGCCACAUUGGAACUGAGACACGGUCCAAACUCCUACGGGAGGCAGCAGUGGGGAAUAUUGCACAAUGGGCGAAAGCCUGAUGCAGCAACGCCGCGUGAGCGAUGAAGGCCUUCGGGUCGUAAAGCUCUGUCCUCAAGGAAGAUAAUGACGGUACUUGAGGAGGAAGCCCCGGCUAACUACGUG